rnacentral:tRNA from 1 species
GCCCCCGUAGCUCAGUUGGACAGAGCAGUGGUUUCCUAAACCGCGGGUCGGGUGUUCGAGUCACCCCGGGGGUA